rnacentral:rRNA from 1 species
GGACACGUGAAAUCCUGUCUGAAGAUGGGGGGACCAUCCUCCAAGGCUAAAUAACUCGUAAUCGACCGAUAGUGAACUAGUACCGUGAGGGAAAGGCGAAAGAACCCCGGGACGGGGAGUGAAAUAGAUCCUGAAACCGACAUGCAUACAAACAGUGGGAGCCUCGCAAGGGGUGACUGCGUACCUUUUGUAUAAUGGGUCAGCGACUUACGUUCUGUAGCGAGCUUAACCGAAUAGGGGAGGCGUAGCGAAAGCGAGUCUGAUAAGGGCGCUUUAGUUGCAGGGCGUAGACCCGAAACCAGAUGAUCUAUCCAUGGCCAGGAUGAAGGUGCCGUAACAGGUACUGGAGGUCCGAACCCACUAAUGUUGAAAAAUUAGGGGAUGAGCUGUGGAUAGGGGUGAAAAGGCUAAACAAAUACUGGAAAUAGCUGGUUCUCCCCGAAAAGCUAUUUAGGUAGCGCCUCAUGUAUCACUCGCGGGGGUAGAGCACUGUAAUGGUUGG